rnacentral:rRNA from 1 species
GACGAACGCUGGCGGCGUGCUUAACACAUGCAAGUCGAACGGAAAGGCCCCCUUGUGGGGUACUCGAGUGGCGAACGGGUGAGUAACACGUGAGUAACCUACCCUUGACUUUGGGAUAACUUCAGGAAACUGGGGCUAAUACCGGAUAGGAGCUCCUGCUGCAUGGUGGGGGUUGGAAAGUUUCGGCGGUUGGGGAUGGACUCGCGGCUUAUCAGCUUGUUGGUGGGGUAGUGGCUCACCAAGGCUUUGACGGGUAGCCGGCCUGAGAGGGUGACCGGCCACAUUGGGACUGAGAUACAGCCCAGACUCCUACGGGAGGCAGCAGUGGGGAAUAUUGCACAAUGGGCGGAAGCCUGAUGCAGCAACGCCGCGUGCGGGAUGACGGCCUUCGGGUUGUAAACCGCUUUCGCCUGUGACGAAGCGUGAGUGACGGUAAUGGGUAAAGAAGCACCGGCUAACUACGUG